UACCUGCAGCUCAAGUAGUGACCACUAUUACUGGGCCUAAAACGUUCGUAGCCGGUUUGGUAAAUGCCUGGGUAAAUCGUGUAGCUUAACCAUACGAAUUCCGGGUAGACUGCCAAACUUGAAACCGGGAGAAGCUAGAGGUACUCCUGGGGUAGAGGUGAAAUUCUGUAAUCCUAGGGGGACCACCAGUGGCGAAGGCGUCUAGCUAGAACGGGUUUGACGGUGAGGAACGAAGCCCUGGGGCGCAAACCGGAUUAGAUACCCGGGUAGUCCAGGGUGUAAACGCUGCUUGCUUGAUGUUAGUUGGGCUCCGAGCCCAAUUAGUGUCGGAGAGAAGUUGUUAAGCAAGCUGCCUGGGAAUACGAUCGCAAGAUUGAAACUUAAAGGAAUUGGCGGGGAGCACAGCAAACGGGUGGAGCGUGCGGUUU
rnacentral:rRNA from 1 species